UAAAAAUAAGUGAAUUGCUGCUUGAAAAAAAAAAAAGAACAAGAAAGCCGAAUGGAGGAAUGGUAAAGUUAUUUAGAAUCUAAGAUAUGUGAAAGAGACAUGCUGCUGAGAGGCAACUGUGGCUGUAGAAAGCUUCAAGCAAGAAACCCUGCAGGCACCGUAUUCACAUGGCAGAUCACUGAGCAUGAACAGAUGUCUUUCUGUAGAAAAUCAAGGCUGGAAAGUGAGAACAUUGUAUUCCUUCCAAAUACAGAGAGAUGACAAUGGCCCCUGUGCGAGCAACGAGGAGUUGUGAAAUGAUACUAGAAUACACAAAUUCAAUCCUAAUUCAUCUAAUGUACAUAACAAAGUGACAUUCAAAUUUUAAUGCAAAAGAUCCUAAACACAGAGACAAUAGAACUGCAUACAAUCUUUUGGACUUUGUUUAUGUGUUUUUGAUCAUUUAUCCUCUGCAAUGGACAAUUCCUGCCUCUUGAAAAUGAGCUGAUCACAGUGUGUCCCCUCUGCUGAGACCCCCAGAGUCUGAGAGGAAACCUGGCAGUAAGUGUUUAAAUGGGUACUCUCAUUAAAGUAAAACAUUUUUUAUAUAUAAAUUAUGCAAAAAUAAACAUGUUUCUAAUAUAUUUUAAUUUAAAAAAAAAAUCUCGUUUUUAUUGUUUUUUUCACAUUCUAAAACCUGGCCACUAGGUGUCACUCUAUGGCUCAGGAAGCAUUUUCACCCCCUUACGUUGAGCACGUUUGGAUCACUGCUGGCCGGGCAGCGUGGUCCGAAAUGCUCGUUCACAGCUUGCUCUCUGCCUGUAUAUGAAACAGGCAGAGAGCGAGCACCGCGCUCGUUGGCCUGCGGCGCGCAAAAUUUGAAUCUCCCCGCCCCCCUUCAUAUGCCUUUUCACACUGCAGCACACCCGCUGCAGUCUCUCAUGCUGAAGACAGAGAGGGAGACGAGAGUGGAGACGCCGCGCGUGAAAUUUGAAUAUCCCUGCCCCCAUUCAUAUGCCUCUUCUCACUGCAGGAAGACGGGCGGAAGCGAUCCCCGGCCAGGCUUCAGAUGACGUCACGUCGGCCGAAGCCGCCCACUUCCUGGCCCUCUGGAGACUGCUCAACUCUGAGCUACCGAAGCUGUUUGAAAAAAGAACCGGCUGCCAUGUGAUGCCAUUGCAGCCUUAUGUAUACGACUUAUGGCAUCUUAAGACUUUAUAACAUCUGUGAAAAACCUCAAAAACAGACAAAACCGUAGGCACAAUGAAUAAGACAGUUGGAUGCAAAGUCUCAAAGUACGACUGACAUUAGGAUAUCAGACUCAUCAGACUAUUUCAGUGAAAACAAGCAAGUCCGAGCACAUAUUCAACAGCGAAUCGGAUAAAAUGACAAUGUACCGUUCAGGAGAUGACUGUGUACAUUUCCAAAAGAGGCUUUGGCUGCAAUUAGCUUUACUGUAAUAAAAUGGCCCAGUCUACAUUAGAUAUUCAAUUAUUCAGGAAAAAGUCUUGAACAUGAAUUAUGAAUAGCUUCUCUUUCACGCUAUGUCAGUCUCUCAUUUGCUGGAAUUACAUUUUUAGGCACAAUUACUGGCAAACGUCAAAGGGCUAAGAGAUGUCUGCAUUGGAAUAGUCACCAGAG